CCUUGAUAUGUUUGGAGUAUUGUUAUUGUUGCUCUGCAUGCGAAUGAAUUAGCCUGUCCUGCUAAGAUGAAGAUGUUUGUGCCUGAGUCUUGAAUUUUAAGAGGUAAGGGAGAUGAAUAAUUUCUGUCAUAUGAAAGGAUAAAAAGGUUUGAAUUACAAAUAUUGAUCAGUACGAGUUAAAAAUGGUGAUCAGUUCGGAACAAAAAGAAAUGGUCAGUUUGAAUUAAAAAAACACACAUAGAAAUUCAAAUUAUAAAAGUCCAAACAAAAAAAGAAACCCCGCGGAAAUUCAAAUGGUAGAUGUACAAGUCGUAAAAUGAGAGAAGUCCAGAACAUCAUUGCAAAAAAAAUGUUGAGUUAAAAGAAAACAUGCAAAACAAUUUCUUUUUGAAAACAAUAGCAAUCAGUUCAACGAUACAAACCAUGCAAGUUCGGGGACGAUAGUAUAGUAAGCCGUUGAAAAGUUACGAGCAAAACUCUAACGAAAAAACAUAGUAAAGAGUUAAAAGAAAACAUGCAAAACAAUUUCUUUUUGAAAAAAAUAGCAAUCAGUUCAACGAUACAAACCAUGCAAGUUCGGGGACGAUAGUAUAGUAAGCCGUUGAAAAGUUACGAGCAAAACUCUAACGAAAAAACAUAGUAAAGUCAAGUAUAUGAAAACGCACGUUCAACACAUACUCAAUACAGAGAUCAGUUCGAGUAUUAUAUUUCCAAAACAGAAAAAUAGCACAACCGGUAUAACCGUAUUUAAAACUACUCUGUGAAAAAUACCUCAGUACAAACAUAGACAUAGAUCAGUACGAGUACUCUGUUUUUUAGACAGGAAAAACAACACGAUGGUUUCACCUUAUUCAAAAUUACUUUUAAACGGUUGCGAAGUAGAGAAAACGUUCAACAUGACUAAGUUUCGCAUUUUCGAUAGCUAUCCAACAGUAUAUUAUUUGCCAUAUUUCGACAAACUUUUUAAAAAAACGCGUUCGAAAUCAAAUUUGACAGUAUUCAAAUUCGUUUUUAAAACGUAAGGAUUAGAAAAUUGUGUAUCAUGUAGUUCUUGUUUAGAUGUCGUGCAAGUUCAAAAAAUUUCGAUUUUGCCACUGGAGAGAACCCGUUGGUGCAUUGUUUUUCCGGUAUGACGUCCCUUGAUAUGUUUGGAGUAUUGUUAUUGUUGCUCUACAUGCGAAUGAAUUAGCCUGUCCUGCUAAGAUGAAGAUGUUUGUGCCUGAGUCUUGAAUUUUAAUAGGUCAAGGGAGAUGAAUAAUUUCUGUCAUAUGAAAGGAUAAAAAGGUUUGAAUUACAAAUAUUGAUCAGUCCGAGUUAAAAACGGUGAUCAGUUCGGAACAAAAAGAAAUGGUCAGUUUGAAUUAAAAAAACACACAUAGAAAUUCAAAUUAUAAAAGUCCAAACAAAAAAAGAAAC
rnacentral:lncRNA from 1 species